AUAUAUAAAGUAAAAUUUACAUUUAGUUUCGACCUAAAAAUAGAUAAACUCUUAUCUAUAUAUU
rnacentral:tRNA from 1 species